UGCUACUAAUUAAGAUAAAAUUGUUCUUGGAUUAGUAAAUUUUUAGAAACUUAAUGGUUUUGGCGGCAAGAUAGACUAGUUAGAGGAACCUGCCCUGUAAAUGACAGACCACGAUUACCUUACUUUUUUUAGAAAUCUCAGUUUGUAUAUCGCUGUUGUCAGUUGGUUUUAUUAAAAAACUUUCAUUUAUAAAAUAUUUAUAAACUUCAAGCAAUGUAGCAGCUAAUAAAAAAGAUAGAGGUGGGUUACAAUGAUUUAAUUUAUACGGAUAGAAAUGGGAAGGGUAUUUCUUAAAGGAGGAUUUAAUUGUAAAUUUUUGAGAAAUUGAUUUAAGCUCUUUCUUGU
rnacentral:rRNA from 1 species